GCUAGUAAUCGUAGGUCAGCAUACUACGGUGAAUACGUUCCCGGGCCUUGUACACACCGCCCGUCAAACCAUGAGAGUUGGCAACACCCGAAGUCGGUAGUCUAACCGCAAGGAGGACGCCGCCGAAGGUGGGGUUNAUGAUUAGGGUUAAGUCGUAACAAGGUAAC
rnacentral:rRNA from 1 species